GUAUCGGCUUUACAAGCUGAGAAGAUGUUGAGAAAAGAAACAUGUCAAGGAUAUCUAGUAAGUAUCUCAGGAGGGAAACAAGAAACAAUAAGGGUUGAAGAUGUACCAGUAGUACGGGAAUUCGUAGAUGUGUUUCCAGAAGAUCUAUCUGGUAUUCCACCCGAUAGACAAGUGGAAUUCAUCAUAGACCUAAUUCCUGGGGCGGCACCAGUAUCUAAGGCCCCAUACCGAAUGGCCCCAAAAGAACUACAAGAAUUAAAGAAGCUGUGGCAAAAACUCCUAGAUAUGGGCUUCAUACGACCAAGCGUAUCUCCAUGGGGUACGCCAGUGUUGUUUGUAAAGAAGAAAGAUGGAAGCAUGAGAAUGUGCAUCGAUUAUAGGGAGAUAAAUCGAUUAACCAUCAAGAAUAAAUACCCACUCCCGAGGAUCGAGGAUCUGUUAGAUCAACUGAAAGGAGCUAAGGUAUUUUCCAAGAUCGACUUACAAUUGGGAUACCAUCAACUGAAAGUAGAGACAAAGGAUAUACCUAAGACAGCUUUUAGAACUCGAUAUGGACACUACGAGUUUACGGUGAUGCCGUUUGGGCUAACCAAUGCACCUGCAGUGUUCAUGGACCUGAUGAAUCGAGUGUUUCAUCAAUACUUG
rnacentral:lncRNA from 1 species